rnacentral:rRNA from 1 species
UACGUAGGUGGCAAGCGUUGUCCGGAUUUAUUGGGCGUAAAGAGCUCGUAGGUGGUUCGGUAAGUCGGAUGUGAAAUCUCCAGGCUCAACCUGGAGGGGUCAUUCGAUACUGCCGUGACUAGAGGUCGGUAGGGGAGUGUGGAAUUCCUGGUGGAGCGGUGAAAUGCGCAGAUAUCAGGAGGAACACCCGUAGCGAAGGCGGCACUCUGGGCCGAUACUGACACUGAGGAGCGAAAGCGUGGGGAGCGAACAGG